ensembl:lncRNA
AAUAUCGUUAACAUGGUUAAAGAUUGCUUACUAGAAUUAUAGUUCAGUAUGUAAUAAACAUAAUAUUACUGUGGUUAAAUGAGUAAUAAAUGUAUUAGUACCAGAAUUAGAUAUAUAACAACAAUCAUAUUUUGUGUUGGGGUUAGAUGUGUAAUAAACAUUAGUGUUGGGGUUAGAUGUGUAGUAAAUGUUUUAUUAUCAGGGUUAGAUGUGUAAUAAACAUUAGUGUUGGGGUUAGAUGUGUAAUAAUGUUUUAUUAUCAGGGUUAGAUGUGUAUAAAUGUUUUAUUAUCAGGGUUAGAUGUGUAAUAAAUGUUUUAUUAUCAGGGUUAGAUGUGUAUAAUGUAUUAUCAGGGUUAGAUGUGUAAUAAACAUUAGUGUUGGGUUAGAUGUGUAAUAAUGUUUUAUUUAUCAGGGUUAGAUGUGUAAUAAAUGUUUUAUUAUCAGGGUUAGAUGUGUAAUAAAUGUUUUAUUAUCAGGGUUAGAUGUGUAAUAACAUUAGUGUUGGGGUUAGAUGUGUAAUAAAUGUUUUAUAUCAGGGUUAGAUGUGUAGUAAAUGUUUUAUUAUCAGGGUUAGAUGUGUAAUAAAUGUUUUAUUAUCAGGGGGUUUAGAUGUGUAGUAAAUGUUUUAUUAUCAGGGUUAGAUGUGUAAUAAAUGUUUUAUUAUCAGGUUAGAUGUGUAAUGUUUUAUUAUCAGGGUUAGAUGUGUAAUAAAUGUUUUAUUAUCAGGGUUAGAUGUGUAAUAACAUUAGUGUUGGGGUUAGAUGUGUAAUAAAUGUUUUAUUAUCAGGGUUAGAUGUGUAAUAAAUGUUUUAUUAUCAGGGUUAGAUGUGUAGAAAUGUUUUAUU